rnacentral:tRNA from 1 species
GGGGAUUUAGCUCAGUGGUUAGAGCACUUGCCUAGCAAGCACAAGGCCCUGGGUUCAGUCCCCAGCUCCG